GACAGAGGAUGCAAGCGUUAUCCGGAAUGAUUGGGCGUAAAGCGUCUGUAGGUGGCUUUUUAAGUCCGCCGUCAAAUCCCAGGGCUUCAACCCUGGACAGGCGGUGGAAACUACCAAGCUGGAGUACGGUAGGGGCAGGAAGGGAAUUUCCGGUGGAGCGGGUGAAAUGCGUAGAGAUCGGAAAGAACACCAACGGCGAAAGCACUCUGCUGGGCCGACACUGACACUGAGAGACGAAAGCUAGGGGAGCAAAUGGGAUUAGAACU
rnacentral:rRNA from 1 species